GAUGAACGCUGGCGGCGUGCCUAAUACAUGCAAGUUGAACGGACUGUGGUAAUUAUGAUUGAAGAGCUUGCUCGGAGAGAUUAAUUACAAUGCAGUCAGUGGCGAACGGGUGAGUAACACGUGGGAAACCUACCUCUUAGCAGGGGAUAACAUUUGGAAACAGAUGCUAAUACCGUAUAACAAUUAGAACCGCAUGGUUCAAGUUUAAAAGAAUGGUUCUGCUAUCACUAAGAGAUGGUCCCGCGGCGUAUUAGCUAGAUGGUGAGGUAAUGGCUCACCAUGGCAAUGAUACGUAGCCGAGUUGAGAGACGAUCGCCACAUUGGGACUGAGACACGGCCCAAACUACCUAC
rnacentral:rRNA from 1 species